AUUGAACGCUGGCGGCAGGCCUAACACAUGCAAGUCGAGCGAGCGGCGGACGGGUGAGUAAGGUAUGGGGAUCUGACUGAUGGAGGGGGAUAACUAAUGGAAACGGUAGCUAAUACCGCAUAGCAUAACCUGAACCCAUAUGGGAUUAGCUUGUAGGUAAGGUAACGGCCUACCUAGGCGACGAUCCCUAGCGGGUCUGAGAGGAUGAUCCGCCACACUGGGACUGAGACACGGUCCAGACUCCUACGGGAGGCAGCAGUGGGGAAUAUUGAACAAUGGGCGCAAGCCUGAUGCAGCCAUGCCGCGGGUAUGAAGAAGGCCUUCGGGUUGUAAAGUACUUUCAGUCGGGAGGCGUUACCGACAGAAGAAGCACCGGCUAACUCCGUGCCAGCAGCCGCGGUAAUAC
rnacentral:rRNA from 1 species